UCUGGUUGAUCCUGCCAGUAGUCAUAUGCUUGUCUCAAAGAUUAAGCCAUGCAUGUCUAAGUACAAACCUUAAUACGGUGAAACCGCGAAUGGCUCAUUAAAUCAGCUAUGGUUCCUUAGAUCGUCUCAUCCUACUCGGAUAACUGUGGAAAAUCUAGAGCUAAUACGUGCUUACAAGCCCUGACCUCACGGGGCGCAUUUAUUAGAUCAAAACCAAUCGGGGCUUGCCCCGUCUGCUUGGUGACUCUGGAUAACUUUUGUGCUGAUCGCAUGGCCUCUGCGCUGGCGACGUAUCUUUCAAGUGUCUGCCCUAUCAACUUACGAUGGUAGGUGAUAUGCCUACCAUGGUUAUAACGGGUAACGGGGAAUCAGGGUUCGAUUCCGGAGAGGGAGCCUGAGAAACGGCUACCACAUCUAAGGAAGGCAGCAGGCGCGCAAAUUACCCACUCCCGGCACGGGGAGGUAGUGACGAAAAAUAACGAUACGGGACUCUUUUGAGGCCCCGUAAUUGGAAUGAGUACACUUUAAAUCCGUUAACAAGUAUCUAUUGGAGGGCAAGUCUGGUGCCAGCAGCCGCGGUAAUUCCAGCUCCAAUAGCGUAUAUUAAUGUUGCUGCAGUUAAAAAGCUCGUAGUUGGAUCUGAGGACUCGAAUUGGUGGUGCACCAUACGGUGUUACUGCCGAUUCGGCCUACCUAGUCGGUGCUCGCUCUUGGUGUUCUUAAUUGAAUGCCCUGAGUGCCCGGCAAGUUUACUUUGAAAAAAUUAGAGUGCUCAAAGCAGGCCAUUAGCCGGAAUACUUCAGCAUGGAAUAAUGGAAUAGGACUUCGGUUCUAUUUUGUUGGUUUUCGGAACCCGAGGUAAUGAUUAAGAGAGACAGACGGGGGCAUUCGUACUGCGGUGUUAGAGGUGAAAUUCUUGGAUCGCCGCAAGACGAACAACUGCGAAAGCAUUUGCCAAGAAUGUUUUCAUUAAUCAAGAACGAAAGUCAGAGGUUCGAAGACGAUCAGAUACCGUCCUAGUUCUGACCAUAAACGAUGCCAACUGGCGAUCCGAGAUCGUUUGCUUAUUGACCUCUCGGGCAGCCUCCGGGAAACCAAAGUUUUUAGGUUCCGGGGGAAGUAUGGUUGCAAAGCUGGGGAUUGUAUACUUCCUUUGGUGUACUGGAAGUGCCCAAGGGGUCCUAUCCCUGGCACUCCAUCCCGAUUGGAGUCAGGUGACGCUCCUUACCUCACCAGACCGCGGCCGGACCCCGGAAGGGGUCUGGGCCCCGAAGCCUGACGGCGUCGGGGUGCAGGAAGCCUCUAGGCGACCAGCCCAGCCGUGCAGAAAUGCAGUAGGCCUUUAUCUGGCUAUUAACGGUAAAUUCACCGGGCCAGUGUCUGACCGAGGUUUUGUGGCACCUAACUAGGCAAGAGGGUGGACCAGGCAGGGGCGGUUGUAUCCGAAAGGUCGCCGUCUCCCUCCGUUUUGCCUGGCUCCGCAAGGGGCGUGUCUACGUCUCCUGCUGUGGGACUCGCCGUCUCCUGUUCUCAGUUGACGGGCCAGCAGCCUAAGGGCGGCUGGUUGUGGCGACCUACCGGAAGCUACACGAGAGCGGGCCUAAAGGCCCGCCCCGCAGUUGGGGGGCGGAGACCGCCGCCCCCAA
rnacentral:rRNA from 1 species